rnacentral:rRNA from 1 species
UACGUAGGGUGCAAGCGUUAAUCGGAAUUACUGGGCGUAAAGCGUGCGCAGGUGGUUGUGCAAGACAGAUGUGAAAUCCCCGGGCUUAACCUGGGAACUGCAUUUGUGACUGCACGGCUAGAGUGUGUCAGAGGGGGGGUAGAAUUCCACGUGUAGCAGUGAAAUGCGUAGAUAUGUGGAGGAAUACCGAUGGCGAAGGCAGCCCCCCUGGGGAUAACACUGACGCCCCAUGCACGAAAAGCGUGGGGGAGCGAACAGG